rnacentral:rRNA from 1 species
CCUACGGGAGGCUGCAGUGGGGAAUAUUGCACACUGGGGGAAACCCUGAUGCAGCAACGCCGCGUGGAGGAAGAAGUAUUUCGGUAUGUAAACUUCUUUCGUCAGGGAAGAUAAUGACGGUAUCUAACGAAUAAGCACCGGCUAACUACGUGCCAGCAGCCGCGGUAAUACGGAGGGUGCAAGAGUUAUUCGGAUUUACUGGGUGUAAAGAGAGAGUAGGCGGGAUUGCAAGUCAGAUGUGAAAGCCCAUGGCGUAACCCAAGAACUGCAUUUGAAACUGUUAUACUAGAGUGUAGGAGAGGUAGGUGGAAUUCCUAGUGUAGCGGUAAAAUGCGUAGAGAUUAGGAGGAAGACUCGUGGCGAAGGCGGCCUGCUAGAACAUAACUGACGCUGAGGCUCGAAAGCGUGGGGAGCAAACAGGAUUAGAUACCCGAGUAGUC